rnacentral:misc_RNA from 1 species
UGCGCCUGCUGCCGGUGGUUUCGCAGAUCGACCGGCCGGAUUUGAAGUUCAAGCCGCAUGUGCCGGCGCUGGCGGUGCGGUGCGCGGAGGACGAGAGCCUGUUCGACCGGAUCCGGCAGGCGGACAUCCUGCUGCACCAUCCCUACGACAGCUUCAAGACGGUGCUCGACUUCAUUUUGCAGGCGGUGGCGGACGAGGAGGUGCUGGCGAUCAAGCAGACGCUUUACCGGACGGGCGGCGAUUCGCCGAUCGUGCCGGCGCUGGCGGAGGCCGCGCAGGGCGGCAAGCAGGUGACGGUGAUCAUCGAGCUCAAGGCGCGGUUCGACGAGGCGGCGAACAUCAAGUGGGCGCGCCUGCUGCAGGAAGCCGGGGUGAAUGUGGUUUACGGGCUGGUCGGGUUGAAGACGCACUCGAAGGCGGCGCUUGUCGUGCGGCGGGAGGGCGGGCGUAUCCGGCGGUACGCGCACAUCGGGACCGGCAAUUAUCACCCGUCGACCGCGCGGCUCUACACCGACCUGGGUAUCCUGACCUGCAACGACGAGCUUUGCGUCGAUGUGGCCGAGCUCUUCAACCAGCUUACCGGGGUGU